UUAAGCUACAAAGGGCGUAGGGUGAAUGCCUUGGCAUCAAGAGCCGAUGAAGGACGUGAUAAGCUGCGAUAAGCUAUGGGUAGGAGCAAAUAUCCACUAAUCCAUAGAUCUCCGAAUGAGGAAACUCAACUAGUAACAAUAUACUAGUUAUCCAUACAUGAGUAAAGUAGUGUAUGAGAAGGGAACGUGGGGAACUGAAACAUCUAAGUACCCACAGGAAAAGAAAGAAAUUAUUCGAUUCCUAGAGUAGUGGCGAGCGAAAUAGGAAGAGCCCAAACUGUAAGUAGUAAUACAUACAGGGUUCGGACUGCAUAAUCGAUUUAAUGAGUUUAGUAGAAGUGUUUUGGAAAAGCACACCAUAGAUGGUGAAAGUCCAGUAUGCGAAAAGCGAGUUAACGAGGCAGUAUCCAGAGUAGCACGAGGCACGUGGAAUCUCGUGUGAAUGUGUGGGGACCAUCCCAUAAGGCUAAAUACUACUUGAUGACCGAUAGUGAACGAGUACCGUGAGGGAAAGGUGAAAAGAACCCCGGGAGGGGAGUGAAAUAGAAUUUGAAACCCUAUGUUUACAAGCAGACAAAGCACGUUAAGGUGCGAUGUCGUACUUUUUGUAGAACGGUCCGGCGAGUUAUUUUAUAUGGCAAGGUUAAGUACUAAAGGUACGGAGCCGAAGAGAAAUCGAGUCUGAAGAGGGCGAAUAAGUCAUAUGAAAUAGACCCGAAACCGAGUGACCUAUCCAUGUCCAGGCUGAAGCUUGAGUAAAAUCAAGUGGAGGGCCGAACUCAUAGACGUUAAAAAGUCUCGGGAUGAGGUGUGGAUAGCGGAGAAAUUCCAAUCGAACUCGGAGAUAGCUGGUUCUCCUCGAAAUAGCUUUAGGGCUAGCCUUGAGGUAAAGACGUAUGGGGGUAGAGCACUGAAUGAGCUAGGGGCCUAACCAGGUUACUGAACUCUAUCAAACUACGAAUACCAUAUUGUUAUACUCAGGAGUCAGACUGCGGGAGCUAAGUUCCGUGGUCAAAAGGGAAAGAGCCCAGAUCGUCAAUUAAGGUCCCAAAGAUAUAGCUAAGUGGAAAACGAUGUGAUUUUGCGUAAACAACCAGGAUGUUGGCUCAGAAGCAGCCACUCAUUCAAAGAGUGCGUAACAGCUCACUGGUCGAGUGAAAUUGCGCGGAAAAUUACCGGGGCUAAGCUAUACACCGAAAUUGCGGAUUCAAGGAUUUAUCCUUGAGUGGUAGAGGAGCAUUCUGUUGUAGGUUGAAGUAUGACCGUAAGGACAUGUGGACGAAGCAGAAGAGAGAAUGCUGGAAUAAGUAGCGAGAGCAAGGUGAGAAUCCUUGCCGUCGAAAGUCUAAGGUUUCCUGGGGAAGGUUCGUCCGCCCAGGGUUAGUCGGGACCUAAGGAGAGGCCGAGAGGCGUAUCUGAUGGACAGCAGGUUGAUAUUCCUGCACUAUAGAUAUACUUAAAAGAUGCAAGGGACGCAGAAGUGGAAGGAAUGCGAGGAAGAGGAAAAACUCGUAUCGAAAGAUAUAGUGAAAAUAAAGUAACGAAUUUCCAAGAAGCACGCUGACGAGAAAAGCUUGUAGAUAUUGUAUAUAAAUACCCGUACCGCAAACCGACACAGGUAGAUGAGGAGAGGAUCCUAAGACGAGCGGGAGAAGCAUUGUUAAGGAACUCGGCAAAUUGACCCCGUAACUUCGGAAUAAGGGGUGCCUAUGUAAAAGUAGGCCGCAGAGAAUAGGCCCAAGCAACUGUUUAACAAAAACACAGGUUUCUGCUAAAUCGAAAGAUGAAGUAUAGGAGCUGACGCCUGCCCAGUGCUGGAAGGUUAAGGGGAAGAGUUAAGACUUGAUCUGAAGCUUAGAACCAAAGCCCCAGUGAACGGCGGCCGUAACUAUAACGGUCCUAAGGUAGCGAAAUUCCUUGUCAGGUAAGUUCUGACCCGC
rnacentral:rRNA from 1 species